AAUAUGGAAAAAAACAAAAUAAGUAUAAAUAUUGGAAGUUGCACUUACACUGCAAAUUAGUCGACGUUGGAGUAGUCAACUAACUUCAGCUGAGUAUUUGGCAGCUUGAGGGAUGUCGUCGCUUACGGUGGUCACAGAUCCUGGCGAACGAGCUCCGCUUCUUUGCAUUUCUUCGGCUGAAUCGUCGCACUCGCACCCUGGGGAUGGAGAAAUAGUCUCUUCGUCGUUGGACGAGAUCGCCGUAUCAAAACCUACGUCCAGUGAUCCCAAACAACGUUUAGUCUCUCUCGAUGUCUUUAGAGGCCUUACCAUCGCUUUGAUGAUUUUGGUUGAUGAUGCUGGAAAGGCUUUCCCGUCCAUAAACCACUCUCCGUGGUUUGGAGUGACCCUUGCUGACUUUGUGAUGCCAUUUUUCCUCUUUAUCGUUGGUGUUUCUGCAAGUCUAGUAUUCAAGAAAGUUUCCAGCAAACCACAGGCUACAAAGAAAGUCUUACUGAGGACAGUUAAGCUCUUUAUUUUGGGAGUGUUCCUUCAAGGUGGGUAUUUCCAUGGACGCGACAACCUGAGUUAUGGAGUUGAUAUUGCUAAAAUUAGAUGGAUGGGAGUGUUACAGAGGAUUUCCAUUGGUUAUUUAUUUGCUUCAAUCCUGGAAAUUUGGUUUGCAAAUGAUUAUCCUGUUGAUUCAUCAAAGGCAUUUACCAGGAGAUACUUCUUUCAAGCAGUGGCUGGAAUCUUAAUUGGUUUGUCGUACCUGAUUUUGCUAUAUGGCCUCUAUGUUCCAGACUGGUUCUUUGAAAUAUCGAGUCUUAACAUGGAAUCACCAGUUUCAGGAUAUGGAUUGAGUACUCAAACUGUUAACUGUGGAGUGAGGGGCAGUCUCGAGCCUCCUUGCAAUGUGGUUGGUCUGAUUGAUAGGCUUCUUCUUGGUGAAAAACACCUUUAUCAACGUCCUGUCUACAGAAGAACCAAGGAAUGCAGUAUCAACUCUCCUGAUUAUGGACCUCCACCAUCAAAUGCACCUGGAUGGUGCCUUGCUCCGUUUGACCCUGAAGGAAUCUUAAGUUCUUUGAUGGCAGCAAUUACGUGCCUUGUGGGCUUGCAUUUCGGCCACAUUCUUGUGCAUGUUAAAGAUCACAUGCAGAGGGUAAUCUUUUGGUCCGUAUUUUCUGUCUUUCUAAUACUUGCAGGAUAUGUCUUGGAGCUUGCAGGUGUUCCUCUUUCUAAACCGCUUUACACAUUGAGCUAUAUGUUCAUCACGGCUGGAGUAUCCGGUUUGCUCUUAGUAGUUCUUUAUUACAUUGUUGAUGUCAAAUGUUUUCAGAAGCCAAUGAUACUAUUUCAGUGGAUGGGAAUGAAUGCUCUCAUCCUCUAUGCCUUGGCUGCUUGUGACCUCUUUCCCGAGGCACUGCAAGGUUUCUAUUGGUAUUCACCCGAAAACAACUUGGUUGACAUUACAGAAAGGUUCAUUCAAGCAGCAUUUCAUUCAAAGAAGUGGGGUACCUUGGUAUUUGUGAUGCUUGAGAUAUUGUUUUGGGGUUUGGUUGCUGGAUUCCUUCAUGCAAAAAAGGUUUAUAUAAAGCUAUGAAGUUGCUGAUGUGAAUGCUUUUGCAUCAUGUGGUGCCACACUCUCUUGAUCAUGCCCAAAUGUUUCAAAAACAUGCAUUCAGUGAGUCCUUCAGCAGCAAAUCCAGAAGAUAACUGAGAUUCUCAACUCAUAGCGUUGAACUUUACUCUCCUUAUGGCAUGUCUUUUUGCGGGUGGAGUUGCCGCGAAGCAGGUAGAAUGAAGAAUGCUCUUCUUAUUAGCAGUGCCUAUAUAUACACACACUUUGUUCUUCAACUUUGCGAAUUCAUUUACCAAGAGGAAGCAAAGAUUAUAACUUGGAUAGGGCAUAGGUGUUGAAUUUGACAAGAUUCUAGUUGAAUUAAUGUGAAGAUCCAUCUUCAAGCUUGAGCAAAUACACACAAUGAUCGUAUUUGCUUCUUCUGUACUUUUGCUGCAACACAAACUUGUCAAAUCGUUUGUACCAUUGCCUAGAUGAUUGUUUUAAUCCAUACAACGAUUUUUCAAG